rnacentral:rRNA from 1 species
GGGGGGGGGGGGGGGGGGGGGGGGGGGGGGGGGGGGGGGGGGGGGGGGCGGGGGGGGGGGGUGGGGGGGGGGGGGUGGCGAAGGGGGGAGUGACACGUGAGUAACCUGGCGCCUGCGUCUGGGUAACCGCAUGGAAGUGUGGCUAAUACGGGAUAGUCUGGGUCUGUCGCAUGGUGGGUCUGGGAACGAUAUUGUUUCGGGGGGGGAUGGGCUCGCGGCCGAUCAGCUUGUUGGUGGGGUGAUGGCCUACCAAGGCGGUGAUGGGUAGCCGGCCUGAGAGGGUAGACGGUCACACUGGGACUGAGACACGGCACAGACGCAUACGGGAGGCAGCAGUGGUGAAUAUUGCACAAUGGGCGCAAGCCUGAUGCAGCGACGACGCGUGAGGGAUGGAGGCCUUCGGGUUGUGAACCUCUUUCGCCAGUGAAGCAGGCGUGCCUCGUUUGUGGGUGGGUUGACGGUAGCUGGAUAAGAAGCGCAGGCUAACUACGUG